UACAGAGGUCUCAAGCGUUGUCCGGAAUUAUUGGGCGUAAAGCGCGCGCAGGUGGUUUCUUAAGUCUGAUGUGAAAGCCCCCGGCUUAACUGGGGAGGGUCAUUCGAUACUGCUCGGCUCGAAGACAGGAGAGGGAAGUGGAAUUCCCGGUGUAGUGGUGAAAUGCGUAGAUAUCGGAAGGAACACCAGUGGCGAAAGCGGCUUCCUGGUCCAGCACCGACGUUCAGGCACGAAAGCGUGGGGAGCAAACAGG
rnacentral:rRNA from 1 species